AACGAACGCUGGCGGCAUGCCUAACACAUGCAAGUCGAACGAGACCUUCGGGUCUAGUGGCGCACGGGUGCGUAACGCGUGGGAACCUGCCCUUUGGUUUGGAAUAACUCCCCGAAAGGGGUGCUAAUACCGGAUAAUGUCUUCGGACCAAAGAUUUAUCGCCUUUGGAUGGGCCCGCGUUGGAUUAGCUAGUUGGUAGGGUAAAAGCCUACCAAGGCGACGAUCCAUAGCUGGUCUGAGAGGAUGAUCAGCCACACUGGGACUGAGACACGGCCCAGACUCCUACGGGAGGCAGCAGUGGGGAAUAUUGGACAAUGGGCGAAAGCCUGAUCCAGCCAUGCCGCGUGAGUGAUGCAGGCCUUAGGGUUGUAAAGCUCUUUUACCCGGGAUGAUAAUGACAGUACCGGGAGAAUAAGCACCGGCUAACUCCGUG
rnacentral:rRNA from 1 species